CCAAAGAGGUAGGAACCGAACAUACACCCCAGAGAGCAAAACCCUUGG
rnacentral:tRNA from 1 species